UACGAAGGGAGCUAGCGUUGUUCGGAAUCACUGGGCGUAAAGCGCACGUAGGCGGAUGUGUCAGUCAGGGGUGAAAUCCCGGAGCUCAACUCCGGAACUGCCUCUGAUACAGCACGUCUUGAGUCCGAUAGAGGUGGGUGGAAUUCCUAGUGUAGAGGUGAAAAUUCGUAGAUAUUAGGAAGAACACCGGUGGCGAAGGCGGCCCACUGGAUCGGUACUGACGCUGAGGUGCGAAAGCGUGGGGAGCAAACAGG
rnacentral:rRNA from 1 species